UGGGUGAUCUGCCUGCACUUCGGAUAAGCCUGGGAAACUGGGUCCAAUACCGGAUAGGACCAUGGACUUCACGGUUUGUGGUGGAAAGCUUUUGCGGUGUGGGAUGGGCCCGCGGCCUAUCAGCUUGUUGGUGGGGUAAUGGCCUACCAAGGCGACGACGGGUAGCCGGCCUGAGAGGGUGUCCGGCCACACUGGGACUGAGAUACGGCCCAGACUCCUACGGGAGGCAGCAGUGGGGAAUAUUGCACAAUGGGCGCAAGCCUGAUGCAGCGACGCCGCGUGAGGGAUGACGGCCUUCGGGUUGUAAACCUCUUUCAAUAGGGACGAAGCGCAAGUGACAGUACCUAUAGAAGAAGCACCGGCCAACUACGUG
rnacentral:rRNA from 1 species